AUAAAAAUCCUUGGAAAAAAGUUCAUUGCGCUGUCUUGUGGGGUCCAGAUGACCCCACUUUUAAUGUAAACAUGCCAAGGAUAGCACAAGGGUUACAUCGGAAUAGAACUGUGAAAUGAAAAGCCUGGAGCAAGAUUUGCAACACUUUGCAUCGAACCUCUUUCAACUGUAGGUGGAAAACGGGCUAGUAAACAGUAGAAAAGAAGAAGAAGCCCCUCUCUGGUUGUCCAGUGUGAACACCAUGAACUAAAUGCGCGUUUAAGAACCAGAUCUUGAAGAAUGCGCAUCACAUUCCCGGGCCUCUUUUACUUGAUAAAUAUUGUUCCACUCUGCAUCUAAAAGGCUUUUAAAUGGUGUGUGUGUGUGUGUGUGUAGAAGAAAAGGAGAUUAUUUACAAAGACCAUGGCUAUGCCAGACACACCCCCCUACCUGGCAUGGGGGAGGAGAAUGUGGCGGCGGAGCAGGAUCCCUGCCUGGAGUGUGAGCUCCUGAAGAAACAGCUGGAUGAGGAGACGCAGCAGACACUGCGACUAAAGCAAGAGGUGAGAGCUAUGAAGAAGCGCCUCUAUAGACUAAGUCGGAUUGAGAUGGGUCUCCAGAGCUUCCUCUAUGAGGAUCAGAUCAGGGCUCUGUCCCUCCCCAAGCGCUCCCGCCGAGCUGUCUGGUCCCCCGAGACAAUCCUGGAGGCUCGAAAUAUCCGCAGUAUUGUCGGAACCAAAGGCUAUGACUACCUGAGAGAGAUCGGUUACCCUCUACCCUCCUAUAGGACUCUGUGUAACCGCGUGGAGACUAAACUCAUGGUCACAACGGACAUGAACUGCGAGGAACUGAAUGAGCUGCACCUCGGGUUUAUGGCCUCAUGCGAAAGUCCUAUAGAAGGAGUUGGAGACCACGAGGAGGAAGAGCUCAUAGGGGUGUUGUCUUAAUCUGAAUGUGAACUACAGGUGGGGGAAUUUCCCAUCAGGCAUUUACAAAUCCCUUGAUUUUAAGAGAAACUGAGUUGUCUGUCUGUGUGUGAUGCCUUCGCUCAGGUGAAGUAUGACGCUCAAAAUCAAAGUUACAGCCAUUUUAUCCUUUAGUGAAUCAAGCUAGAAAAACAUUGGAAGUUCACCAAGAAAUAUGAAAGAUGUAAAUAUGAGAUUUGUGGACAGAAAAAAUGCAUAAAUCCUUGUAGAAUUUGCUGCUUGUUUCUGUUAAGCUGCUGUUUGUGGUUACUCUGGUUCUAUUUGAACCACUUACACUGAAAAUGUAUUUCUAUAUUGAAGCUAAAGUACAGUUUUUGGAAUAAAAGUAAAUCUUAAAUAGUGUUAAGUUCAACCCAACAAUAAAACCUUAACAUGAGUCAAAAUAUUGACUUUUUCAUAUCUUUCUGAGUGUUUAAAUCUCCAGUUGCUCAUGAGGUUCAACUUCCAAAUAAUUGUCACUGUGACUGAAUAAAAAUAUUCAUUUUUGAUGUGAAUGUAUAAAGGGUGCUUUUAAUAAAAACAAUUAUUGAAAACUAUAUAA
rnacentral:lncRNA from 1 species